rnacentral:tRNA from 1 species
GCUGGGGUAGGCAAAUAGGCAAAGCCGCCACACUCAAAAUGUGGUGUAUGUGAGUUCGAAUCUCACCCCCAGCACC